GCCGGGUGAGGCCGAGGUGUGCGGGGCACCGUGCCCUCCCCGCGGGGCUGCUCCGGGGCUUCGUCAGUGCUCUGGGGCCGGGCCGGUGCUUCAGAGACACGCUGCCACGGGGAGCGUGGGCUGGGUGCCACGCAGCGAAAAAUAAAAAUCUGAAUUUUCAUUCCGUUGAAUGUAAAACUAGCCCCUUGUAACUCUAAGGCUUGGCAUUCCGAUGUUUGGCCGAGGGUGCUUUGUGGUGUAGCUGGAGUGGGGAACAGAAAAGGUUGUAUUCCACUGUCUCUCAGGUUCAGGUAGAACUGCUCCUAGAGGUUGCGUUUAUAGGGAAUUGUCACUCUUCUUCUGUGUUCCGUGUGGGUGGGAGUUGUAGGGAGAGGCAAUGAAUGAAAUGAGUAAAUAGUUUAAAUGUGAAAAAACUUACUGGUUUCCCCAUAGUAACUGCAGAACGUCAACAAUGUUGGCUUUUACUGUGUCGCUCACAGAAAGCUGAAGUUUCUCAGGUGGGAGCUGUGCCAUAUGCAUGCACUGUGCUGGUGGCUUCACGGUGUGCAACAGCAGAUGCUCUCUGACCUUUCUUUGGAUAUUUGGUCUUUAAGUCUCAGAACAGGGAGAGAACAAAAACUUCCAAAUAUUUCCAUUGUGUGUGGUAUAACUUGAAGUUACGUGCUCUUUAAUAUGGUUAUUAUUUGAAUAAAUACUUAUAAAUGCAGUUUUCUGUUGUGCUUUGUAUCUUGGACUUGCUUUUAUUUGCACAGUGAUUGUUCAAAGCCAGAGUUGUGCUGAAGCUCAGCCCUCAGCGAGGACCUUUGAGGUACAGCCGCACAUUGAUAGUGUUAUGAACAGUCCUGGCUCGUUUAUCAGACUCUGUAAGCUGGGAGUUUUGCUUUUUUGGUGUUUUUGAGGAGUUAAUGAACAAUUUCAGAAGAUUAUAUUUAAUUGUAUCUGAGAACUGGCUACGGUUACAAGUACAGCAUUGUCUUGAUGUACUUUUCAAUGCUUGAAAGGUAGUCUGAGAAUUUCAUAAUGGUUUUCAUGCUUUCUGUUAUAAAAGAUCCGUCUGUUAAAUUGUUAAUGGAUGCUGGGUUUUCUUACUUUAAAAAGUGUGUUUUGUCAAUUUCCUUAAGCAUCCGGCCUUUCACUUGUUGUGGGGAGAAGCUUUGAACGGUGUCAGCAUUGAGGCAGCUGGUGUUGUUUCAGCCUACAGAGGGCAGGACGUUCCCAUGGCAGGGCUGCCAGCUGCAGCUCGUUGUUUGCCGUGCUGAGGUGGGACCCGAGGGGUGGCAGUUGAUUCCUGAGGAGGACUGCAGAUGCACCUCGGUGCCAGGCCACAUCACUGCAUGUUUUAAAAUAAGAUGCUUUCAGGCAAAAGGUUACCAGCUAGUAUGGGGUGAGCUUCUGAUUCAGCUACUGCAGAGAGAUAUGUUGCUCAUCUCAAUAAUAAGUUUUAAAUGUGGCUAAGAGGUAAGGAAAUUAAACAUCCAAUGUUGUUAGGCUAGUUUAAGCAGUUGCGUAACUGCUGAAACAAGCUAGACAAGUUAUAGGUGUAAAUAUUUUGAUGUGCCUUUAAUGCCCUCUGGAGGAGACAGAAUUUUUUUUCAAGGCACUUUUCAUUAGCAUUGUGUGAAAUUCAUUUGAAGUGGUUUCAGAAGUGAUGUUGUUCUUGUUACAAUUGAAGCAGUUAAUUUGUCUCUGCUAGCUUGUGCUCUCCUGCAGGUGGAUAAGUGAUAUCUGAAAUAACACAACAGGUCUGAAUAUUUUACAACGAAGCCAUUCUUUUCUUCACUUCUAGUGGUAGGAUCUGUGCUUUGAAAGCAAACUUCAUUGCCACAAAUCUUCGAUGUCAAAAGAUGGCAGAUAUCCAUACAGUGAUGGGCAUGAGGUCUGUUGGGGACCAUGCAUCUAUUGAAGUUUGGACAUUUCGUGUAACUGGCAAUAUGUGCAGUGCAAGUCAGUAUGGAGAACUUUUUGGGGAGGAAGAUAUUGUUUUAUAUGUUUUCUUAAGUGUCUGUAAGUCAUAUUUUUGGAGGGGCAACUCUGUGUUCUGCUUUCAGCAGUAUGAGGUGGAACUCCCAAGUGUGCUCCUGGUAGAUGAAGCACCCAGUGGGCCUUUCAACUGGACGAACACUGCUCAGCUAUGGAGAAUGAGCCAAGCACAACAUCAUGUUCUGCAUCCACAACCACCAUUACUACCACCUCCACGUCUCGGACACAGCUUCCACAGAUAUCUGUCUACAGUGGCUCUGACAGGCAUGCUGUCCAGGUUAUUCAGCAGGCCUUGCAUCGUCCUCCUAGCUCAGCUGCUCAGUACCUCCAGCAGAUGUAUGCAGCCCAGCAGCAGCAUCUAAUGCUGCAGACUGCUGCUUUGCAGCAGCAGCACUUAAGCAGUACCCAAUUUCAGAGUCUGGCAACUGUACCACAGGCAAGCCUGUCAGGUGGGAGGCAAUGUACUUCCCCCACUGGGAGUGUCACUCAGCAGUCAAGCAUGUCGCAGACCUCGGUACGUAAUUGAACAAAGCCCUCCAUCCAUUCUCAACCCCUGUUGGUUAUUCUGUAACUAUUUGGCAGCACAGAAAAUACUUCAGUAUUUAAAUUUGUGUAGUUAAACAGUACAACGGGAUCACUAAAUAGCAGAAUGAUGACUGCAGUAGAUGUUGGCUGCACUUCCAGUGUCUGCCAUUAAGCCCGGUGUGAGCAGUUGUUGCUGGUUGGUGUUGGAGGCUUCCCUGGUCCCAGCCCACUCUUGGUGCCCCGAGGGGCAGCUGCGCACUCAGCGGGCACAAGUGAUUCUUCAGACUGCUGCAGGAAUCCCUCCCUGAGCUCUCAUUUCUGGCUGGAUUUUUUUCACAUUAGUUUCUUUGGUCAGGGCACAGCUGUAGGUUGAAAUCAUAACUGUGUAUACCAGUGAUUACAGAGCACUGAAUCUAACGAAUCCAAGUCAUUUCUCACUUAUUUGUAUGACACUGGUUAAAGUGUUUGUAGCUUUCAUUCUUUUAUUAUCAUUGUUUAUCAUGCAUCUGUUAUGCACUUUAACUUACUUUGUCCAUAUUCUAAUCAUGUGCUCAGGUUUGUUGUUAGCAGCCCUGUGUUCAGUUCACGCUGCAUUUCUUUAAAUAACAUCUUCAGAUGUAAUUUGCACAGUCUCCAUGUGCAGUUUUACAACUGUCUUGAGUAGGACUUUGUUAGUCCUACAGACAUCCUGCUUAUUAAUCAUGCCCUCAAGCUGUUCAUGGCUUCAGUGCAUAGCUUCAGCGAUGUAACUGUACGGCUUUUUUAAGCUCUCAUAGCAUUGCUUUGGCUUACAAUUGUUAGAAGUAAAAUUAUUCAUUCAUUAAAUUUGAGAGAAAGUUUUAAAAGAUGUCUGAUGUUAAGCUAACAGAAUAAUUGGGCUUGGAUUUUCAAGGAAAUCUUAAAAUGAUCUAAAAGAGCUGGGCACUUAACUCUGUUAGAUGUGUUAGAAAAACAAACAAACCAGCUUUUGCUUGAUGCCAAAAAGAAAUUUUCAAUGAGCUUUUAAUAUGAGAUUAUGAAGAGCUGUAGUUUCCAGUCACUUUUAAAUGUGCAUAUGAGAAAUCAGUCUGUGUUUGUCAGCACAAGUAGGCAUCCUGGUCAAGUUUAAUAACAAGCAUCUCAG